rnacentral:rRNA from 1 species
GAUGAACGCUGGCGGCGUGCCUAAUACAUGCAAGUCGAGCGAAUGGAUUAAGAGCUUGCUCUUAUGAAGUUAGCGGCGGACGGGUGAGUAACACGUGGGUAACCUGCCCAUAAGACUGGGAUAACUCCGGGAAACCGGGGCUAAUACCGGAUAACAUUUUGAACCGCAUGGUUCGAAAUUGAAAGGCGGCUUCGGCUGUCACUUAUGGAUGGACCCGCGUCGCAUUAGCUAGUUGGUGAGGUAACGGCUCACCAAGGCAACGAUGCGUAGCCGACCUGGGAGGGUAGUCGGCCACACGGGGACUGAGACACGGCCCAGACUCCUACGGGAGGCAGCAGUAGGGAAUCUUCCGCAAUGGACGAAAGUCUGACGGAGCAACGCCGCGUGAGUGAUGAAGGCUUUCGGGUCGUAAAACUCUGUUGUUAGGGAAGAACAAGUGCUAGUUGAAUAAGCUGGCACCUUGACGGUACCUAACCAGAAAGCCACGGCUAACUACGUGCCAGCCGCCGCGGUAA